UACAGAGGGUGCGAGCGUUGUCCGGAAUCACUGGGCGUAAAGGGCGCGUAGGUGGCGGGACAAGCGUGCGGUGAAAGCUCGGGGCUCAACCCCGCGUCGGCCGUGCGAACUGUUUUGCUUGAGCACUGUAGAGGCAGGCGGAAUUCCGGGUGUAGCGGUGGAAUGCGUAGAGAUCCGGAAGAACACCGGUGGCGAAGGCGGCCUGCUGGGCAGUAGCUGACACUGAGGCGCGACAGCGUGGGGAGCAAACAGG
rnacentral:rRNA from 1 species